AUUGAACGCUGGCGGCAUGCCUUACACAUGCAAGUCGAACGGCAGCGGGGGAGAAGCUUGCUUUUCCUGCCGGCGAGUGGCGAACGGGUGAGUAAUACAUCGGAACGUGCCCUGUAGUGGGGGAUAACUAGUCGAAAGAUUCGCUAAUACCGCAUACGACCUGAGGGUGAAAGUGGGGGACCGCAAGGCCUCAUGCUAUAGGAGCGGCCGAUGUCUGAUUAGCUAGUUGGUGGGGUAAAGGCCUACCAAGGCGAUGAUCAGUAGCUUGUCUGAGAUGACGAUCAGCCAAACUGGGACUUGGAUACGGCCCUGUCUCCUACGGGAGGCAGCAAUGGGAAAUUUUUGACAAUGGUCGUAUUACUGAUCCAGAAAUGGCGCGGGUGUGAAGAAGGCCUUCGGGUUGUAAAGCACUUUUGUCCGAAAAGAAAUGGCUCUGGUUAAUACCUGGGGUCGAUGACGGUACCGGAAGAAUAAGGACCGGCUAACUACGUGCCAGCAGCCGCCGCGG
rnacentral:rRNA from 1 species